rnacentral:snRNA from 1 species
AUACCUUUCUCGGCCUUUUGGCUAAGAUCAAGUGUAGUAUCUGUUCUUAUUAGUUUAAUAUCUGAUAACCCGAGUCUACGGGUUCGGGGGCAAGCUUAUAGGUUUUACCUAUAUGUUUGCCUUGAUAUUAAUUUUUUUAAUAGGGGAAGGACCCUAAAUAUAGUAGCUUGCUACUUGAGGUUCCUUCUGUGUCACCCUUAUUUUGCACUUCCGUCAGGGUUUGGCACACCCGCC